rnacentral:rRNA from 1 species
CCUACGGGAGGCAGCAGUGGGGAAUAUUGGGCAAUGGGCGCAAGCCUGAACCAGCCACGCCGCGUGAAGGAAGAAGGCUUUCGGGUUGUAAACUUCUUUUCUCAGGGACGAAGCAAGUGACGGUACCUGAGGAAUAAGCCACGGCUAACUACGUGCCAGCAGCCGCGGUAAUACGUAGGUGGCAAGCGUUAUCCGGAUUUACUGGGUGUAAAGGGCGUGUAGGCGGGAAAGCAAGUCAGAUGUGAAAACCAUGGGCUCAACCUGUGGCCUGCAUUUGAAACUGUUGUUCUUGAGUGCUGGAGAGGCAUACGGAAUUCCGAGUGUAGCGGUGAAAUGCGUAGAUAUUAGGAGGAACACCAGUGGCGAAGGCGGUCUGCUGGACAGCAACUGACGCUGAGGCGCGAAAGCGUGGGGAGCAAACAGGAUUAGAUACCCUAGUAGUC